rnacentral:rRNA from 1 species
CCUACGGGUGGCAGCAGUGGGGAAUAUUGGACAAUGGGCGAAAGCCUGAUCCAGCCAUGCCGCGUGUGUGAAGAAGGCCUUCGGGUUGUAAAGCACUUUCAGUGGGGAAGAAAGCCUUGGGGCUAAUACCCUCGAGGAAGGACAUCACCCACAGAAGAAGCACCGGCUAACUCCGUGCCAGCAGCCGCGGUAAUACGGAGGGUGCGAGCGUUAAUCGGAAUUACUGGGCGUAAAGCGCGCGUAGGCGGUCUGAUAAGCCGGUUGGGAAAGCCCCGGGCUCAACCUGGGAACGGCAUCCGGAACUGUCAGGCUAGAGUGCAGGAGAGGAAGGUAGAAUUCCCGGUGUAGCGGUGAAAUGCGUAGAGAUCGGGAGGAAUACCAGUGGCGAAGGCGGCCUUCUGGACUGACACUGACGCUGAGGUGCGAAAGCGUGGGUAGCAAACAGGAUUAGAUACCCUAGUAGUC